rnacentral:rRNA from 1 species
GCCCAGCUUGCUGGGUGGAUUAGGGGCGAACGGGUGAGUAACACGUGAGUAACCUGCCCUUAACUCUGGGAUAAGCCUGGGAAACUGGGUCUAAUACCGGAUAGGAGCGUCCACCGCAUGGUGGGUGUUGGAAAGAUUUAUCGGUUUUGGAUGGACUCGCGGCCUCCUUACUUGUUGGUGAGGUAAUGGCUCACCAAGGCGACGACGGGUAGCCGGCCUGAGAGGGUGACCGGCCACACUGGGACUGAGACACGGCCCAGACUCCUACGGGAGGCAGCAGUGGGGAAUAUUGCACAAUGGNCNCAAGCCUGAUGCAGCGACGCCGCGUGAGGGAUGACGGCCUUCGGGUUGUAAACCUCUUUCAAGUAGGGAAGAAGCGAAAGUGACGGUACCUGCAGAAGAAGCACCGGCUAACUACGUGCCAGCAGCCGCGGUAAUACGUAGGGUGCGAGCGUUAUCCGGAAUUAUUGGGCGUAAAGAGCUCGUAGGCGGUUUGUCGCGUCUGUCGUGAAAGUCCGGGGCUUAACCCCGGAUUCUGCGGUGGGUACGGGCAGACUAGAGUGCAGUAGGGGAGACUGGAAUUCCUGGUGUAGCGGUGGAAUGCGCAGAUAUCAGGAGGAACACCGAUGGCGAAGGCAGGUCUCUGGGCUGUAACUGACGCUGAGGAGCGAAAGCAUGGGGAGCGAACAGGAUUAGAUACCCUGGUAGUCCAUGCCGUAAACGUUGGGCACUAGGUGUGGGGACCAUUCCACGGUUUCCGCGCCGCAGCUAACGCAUUAAGUGCCCCGCCUGGGGAGUACGGCCGCAAGGCUAAAACUCAAAGGAAUUGACGGGGGCCCGCACAAGCGGCGGAGCAUGCGGAUUAAUUCGAUGCAACGCGAAGAACCUUACCAAGGCUUGACAUGUUCUCGAUCGCCGUAGAGAUACGGUUUCCCCUUUGGGGCGGGUUCACAGGUGGUGCAUGGUUGUCGUCAGCUCGUGUCGUGAGAUGUUGGGUUAAGUCCCGCAACGAGCGCAACCCUCGUUCCAUGUUGCCAGCACGUAAUGGUGGGGACUCAUGGGAGACUGCCGGGGUCAACUCGGAGGAAGGUGAGGACGACGUCAAAUCAUCAUGCCCCUUAUGUCUUGGGCUUCACGCAUGCUACAAUGGCCGGUACAAUGGGUUGCGAUACUGUGAGGUGGAGCUAAUCCCAAAAAGCCGGUCUCAGUUCGGAUUGGGGUCUGCAACUCGACCCCAUGAAGUCGGAGUCGCUAGUAAUCGCAGAUCAGCAACGCUGCGGUGAAUACGUUCCCGGGCCUUGUACACACCGCCCGUCAAGUCACGAAAGUUGGUAACACCCGAAGCCGGUG